GGGGCAUUAGCUCAGUUGGCUAGAGCGCGUCGCUGGCAGUGAUGAGGUCAAGGGUUCGAGUCCCUUAUGCUCCA
rfam:Lentisphaera araneosa HTCC2155 1101329224566, whole genome shotgun sequence.